GCCCUAAUUUCUUUACCCACAUCCAGUCCCCACCUCUUCCCUCAGCGCCGCACUCACCAAGUCAACAUCGAUCCCCAUCGCCCCGCAUCAUCGCCGCCCGGUGCCGUCGCCUUGGAUCCCCCACCCGCACCAUCGCCGCCCGGUGCCGUCGCCCCCAUCCCCUUCGUCCAGUACCGCGCCGCCCCCUCUCUCUCUCGUCGCUCCUCCUCUCCCCCGAUCUGGAUCUGGAGGGAGAGCGCCUGGUCGCCGCCCUACCUUCUCUACCCGUCGCUCCCCAUCUCUCCUCCCUCCCACUGUGCCUGCCUCCAUGAGCUCCGGCCUCUCCCCAGCCGGCGACGCCCCUUUCCUUCCACAGCCAACGACGACCAAUCGUCUCCGACGAGCCGCUGUGGCGUGCCCUCCUCCUCCUACUUGAGUCAGAUCCGGCCACCCCAGCCUCGGAUCCGGCCACCCCAGCCUCGCAACCGGCAUCCACCGCCCACCUGCAUGCCUCAUCGUCGUAGGACACCGCCAGGAUUGUUGAGCUGCUGCUCCUUGUGCUGCUGUUGAUGUGUUGUGUUGAUUGGUUGCCUGCCGUUGGCGAGCAUGGCAUCUGGGAGCCAAAUAUCAUUGGAGUAUGGAGAUUUGGUAAGCAUACUUGAGCACUUGAAAAAUACUACACCAUGGCAUCUGACUGUACUCUGUACGUUGCUCCCUCUUCUUUUCGUUCCUCUGUUCUGCUUCUUGCCAAUAGUAACUGUAUGUACGGUCCGGAUGAAGUUUAUUGUGAGAGUUUUUCUGCAUUAUAACUAUAUACAAACUAUGCUCUGUUUUAGUCUCUCAUUCCCUUUAAAAUAAAAUCCCCACUGCAGCCAUAUCUUAAUCAAUCAAAUUAAAUGUCCUGUUUACAAUUUUUGCAGUGCAAAAGGCCCUUUUGAUUCUGGCGUCAUUGCAUUAAAACAAAUAAUCAUUCUAGUUGUUCUUCAGAUAUUUUGUUUGCAAUUCUGCAUACACAGGGAGCCAAUAGAAGUGACAGAACAUGUGCUUUUGUGGGUCUACUUUUCUUGGUUGUGCAGUAAUGCAUCGCUCAAGUAAUUUGCUCUGACUAGAAGCUGCUACUGGCAAAUGCCGAUGUGGCUAGAUGGCAUCGUGUCAAUUGAAUUUGAGUCUGCUAGCAUAAAGAUUUUGCUAUCAAAUGCAGUUCUUUAGUUAUACUUAAUAACACGUUUUGUGCCCUGGUGUGUUUGUGAGAUACUGAGGCGUCUUGCUUCUUUCAUUGCGUAGCUAGCCUUUUCUCAUAAAAUUUACAUGUGGGUGAACAAAUUGACCAGAAUACUAUGUGCCAUAAAUUCACCUUUUCUCCUAACAGACUUAUACUUGGCACUAUGAUCUUUUUAGAGAAAACCUUGAUGGGUCCAAAGCUGUCCAGAUGCAUUGUGAGUGAUGGUUGAGAUGUGGUGCAAAAUGGAAUGGAAUAAACUUCUUGUGCUUGUAGGGAGCGGAAGCGGAUGUGAUCGGGGAUCACCGUGAAGAGAGUGCUUCCUUGGCUCGCUACCAAAGGAAAAUGGUGAGUUUGUUACUUGAGUAAAACUAUCAUCUUUGUUCUUAAUUUUUAUUGUCUCUUUAAUGAGUAGAUACUAUGUAGUAUCUUGGCACAUCGUUAGGAUUAAGACAUACAUCUAUUGCCUCUCUAAUCAAUACAUACUAUAGUACUUGCUCUCUCUAAAAAAUGGUCGAACAAUGCCAAACUGAAAGUAACAACGAUGCUGGCACUCGUUCAUUUAUAGUUCCAUAUAGAAGAUGCAAAAGGCUGGAACUUCAUGCCUUGACGUGUAACAUACUGCAACUUAAUGCUGCUUGUCAGUAUGGAACACCACGGGUAGUUAGCGCUUGUGUUUUGCUCAUGCUCCUGGCAAAUCCUUUUGGUUCAGAAAGCUUAUGUGUUCUGGUAUGCUCCUUGGUAUAUUUCAGAGUGACUAGUUUCUACUCAUUCCUGUUUCUGUCUUUAAGAAUAGUUUGGAAACUUAAAUGAGGAUGUGUUGCUUUCUCCAACACCUGUAAGCUAUGUUCUUAAAUAUUGUUUCUUAAAUUACUGCAGAGUUAAGGUUCUUUUUUCCCGGUGUAUUGCUUUGAAGAAUAAGGCCUUAAAGGGUGUGUCUUUAAAACUCUACUAGUAUUGUUGUUCAUGUACUAGUCUUGUUGCCGUCACUGGGCAUUUUCAAUAUAUAUAUUUUGAUAUUUGGAGAAUAAGUAGUUUAUAUGAAUCAUAUGCUGGACGAAAAUAUUUCCAUAUAUAAAUAUGCCAUGACUAAUUGGUAAUUUUAUUACAUGUUGGAUGCUUUUUUGACCUUCUGGGAGAUAUGAUAUAUGAGCAAGUGUUUCAAACUUUUGACCUUUUCUGUUAAGUUUAUAUGUAAACUACUACCCUUUGAAGAUAUGAGAAUGAAUGCCAUGUGAUACAAGUUAAGCUUGCUUACUGUACUGUGAACUGAACCUGCCUUUUGUCUCUUGGGAUGUUGAAAUUUCACUAGUAUAUAUAUCACAAGUCAAACUGAACUUGAGAGUUCCAUCCAUACGACAAAAUCUUCAGCGAGAGCUUAGCUAAUCGCUUCAACUCUGUUGUUCUUAAAUUUCUAUUAUCAUAUAGGUUGAGCAUUUGUAUCAUAGCAUUUGCGUGAACUAUGGGUUGGACCGUCAACAAUGCAAAGAUUCUUUAUUUGGAAAAUCAGUGCAUAGACAAUAGAUGAAUCAUUUGAGUAGUUCUGUGGCAUGGUUUGAGAUCUUCUGUAGUCCAGAGUGAUCUUGCAUUUCUUUGCCUGCAUAGAAUCCACUUCCUCGCCACAUUUUCCAUUUUCUCAAAUGCACAGAAGGUAAUCUGUGUCACUUUUCUCCAUCUUGAUUGCUUAAUGCUCAUUUCUUUACAUUAGUGCAUCUAAGUGGACAAUCUUUUAGUAAUGGGUGUGUGUGUUCUCAUUCCAGUAAAUAAAUAUUAAGAAAUUACAUUUGAGUUGACUAGGCCUUAAUAUCUGAUUCACUCAAACAAUUAAAUGGAUGUUAAAUGUAAAAGCCACAUUGUAAAGUGCUAAGAGCAUUGUUUGUUUAUAAUCUGGUAUUUGUUCCGUAAUCUACUAUCUGGUUGAAGCUAUGGAGUCUAGUGAGCAGGUUGUGCUUUUAUUAAAUACUUCUGAUAUGUGGUAAUUGGUUUGCUUCUUUUUUCAGGUCUGCUUUUGCACCCCACAAGUUUAUAGAUAUAUGUUUUGUGAGCUAAAAGGACCUAUUGGUAGAAUCUAACUCGGUUUUUGGAUUUUUGGAUUUUAAUAUCUAUCUGAUGAAGUAGCAAUCUAGGAUGGAACCAGUUUCUAACUGAAACUAAAUGUUAUAUUUGGUGAUGUUAUACUGGAGACAUGAACCUACAAAUGUAUGUAUGUAUACAUGAUGGAUUGUUGUCCUUUUGGCUGUGAUGUAGUACUGGACUUGCGAACCUGUAUGUAUGCUGUGAUGCAGUACUAGACUCGUGAACCUACAAAUGUAUACAUAUGUAUGUAUGCAUGCAGACAUGAUGUAUUGUUGAGAUAUAUAUUAUGAUGCAACUUGAAUUACUCGAAA
rnacentral:lncRNA from 1 species